rnacentral:rRNA from 1 species
GACGAACGCUGGCGGCGUGCUUAACACAUGCAAGUCACGGGGGCCCGCAAGGGUAACCGGCGAACGGGUGCGUAACACGUGAACAAUCUGCCUAGAUGUGGGGGAUAGCCGGCCCAACGGCCGGGUAAUACCGCAUACGCUCUUCGGGUGGCAUCACUUGAAGAGGAAACCUCCGGGGCAUCUAGAGGAGUUCGCGGCCUAUCAGCUAGUUGGUGGGGUAACGGCCUACCAAGGCAAUGACGGGUAGCUGGUCUGAGAGGAUGGCCAGCCACAUUGGGACUGAGAUACGGCCCAGACUCCUACGGGAGGCAGCAGUGGGGAAUAUUGCGCAAUGGCCGAAAGGCUGACGCAGCGACGCCGCGUGGGGGAUGAAGCAUUUCGGUGUGUAAACCCCUGUUGCCCGGGACGAACAAGCGAUUUUGAUCGCUCUGACGGUACCGGGUGAGGAAGCACCGGCUAACUCCGUGCCAGCAGCCGCGGUAAUACGGAGGGUGCGAGCGUUGUCCGGAAUCACUGGGCGUAAAGGGCGCGUAGGCGGUCUGCUAAGCGUGUGGUGAAAGCUCGGGGCUCAACCCCGAGUCUGCCAUGCGAACUGGUGGACUAGAGCACUGUAGAGGCAGGUGGAAUUCCGGGUGUAGCGGUGGAAUGCGUAGAGAUCCGGAAGAACACCAGUGGCGUAGGCGGCCUGCUGGGCAGUAGCUGACGCUGAGGCGCGAUAGCGUGGGGAGCAAACAGG